ACCAAUAGUGCUUACCGGCGGACGGGUGAUUAACACGUGGGUAACCUGCCUCAUGCAGGGGGAUAACCAACCGAAAAGUUGAUUAAUACCGCAUAAACCAAAGAGUAUGCAUAUACUUAUUGGCAAAAGACAAAUCCGGCAUGAGAUGGACCCGCGGCCCAUUAGCUAGUUGGUGAGAUAACGGCCCACCAAGGCGACGAUGGGUAGCCCAUCUGAGAGGAUGAACGGCCACAUUGGAACUGAGACACGGUCCAUACUCCUACAGGAGGCAGCAGUGGGGAAUAUUGCGCAAUGGGGGAAACCCUGACGCAACAACGCCGCGUGAACGAUGAACGCCUUCGGGUCGUAAAGCUCUGUCUUUAGGGACGAUAAUGACGGUACCUAAGGAGGAAGCCACGGCUAACUACUGUGCCAGCAGCCGCGGUAAUACGUAGGUGGCGAGCGUUGUCCGGAAUUACUGGGCGUAAAGGAUGCGUAAGCGGAAUCUUAAGUCAGAUGUGAAAUCCCCGGGCUCAACCCGGGAAUAGCAUUUGAAACUGGGGUUCUAAAGUGCAUGACAGGAAAGCGGAAUUCCUAGUGUAGCGGUGAAAUGCAUAUAUAUUAGGAAGAACACCAGUGGCGAAUGCGGCUUUCUGGACUGUAACUGACGCUGAGGCAUGAAAGCGUGGGGAGCAAACAGGAUUAGAUACCCUGGUAGUCCACGCUGUAAACGAUGAGUGCUAGGUGUAGGGGAUUUCAACAUCCUCUGUGCCGCAGCAAACGCAAUAAGCACUCCGCCUGGGGAGUACGGUCGCAAGACUAAAACUCAAAGGGAUUGACGGGGGCCCGCACAAGCAGCGGAGCAUGUGGUUUAAUUCGAAGCAACGCGAAGAACCUUACCAGGACUUGACGUCUACCUAAUACUGCAGAGAUGCGGUAGUGCCUUUCGGGGAAAGGUAAGACAGGUGGUGCAUGGUUGUCGUCAGCUCGUGUCGUGAGAUGUUGGGUUAAGUCCCGCAACGAGCGCAACCCUUGUCAUUAGUUGCUAACAUUAAGUUGAGCACUUUAAUGAGACUGCCGGGGACAACUCGGAGGAAGGUGGGGAUGACGUCAAAUCAUCAUGCCCCUUAUGUCCUGGGCUACACACGUGGUACAAUGGGUAGAACAAUAAGAAGCAAGAUGGCAACAUGGAGCAAAUUUUAAAAACUAUUCCCAGUUUGGAUUGAGGGCUGCAACCCGCCAUCAUGAAGCGGGAGUUGCUAGUAAUCGCGAAUCAGCAUGUCGCGGUGAAUACGUUCCCGGGCCUUGUACACACCGCCCGUCACACCUUGAGAGUCUGCAA
rnacentral:rRNA from 1 species